GACGAACGCUGGCGGCGUGCUUAACACAUGCAAGUCGAACGGAAAGGCCCUGCUUUUGUGGGGUGCUCGAGUGGCGAACGGGUGAGUAACACGUGAGUAACCUGCCCUUGACUUUGGGAUAACUUCAGGAAACUGGGGCUAAUACCGGAUAGGAGCUCCUGCUGCAUGGUGGGGGUUGGAAAGUUUCGGCGGUUGGGGAUGGACUCGCGGCUUAUCAGCUUGUUGGUGGGGUAGUGGCUUACCAAGGCUUUGACGGGUAGCCGGCCUGAGAGGGUGACCGGCCACAUUGGGACUGAGGUACGGCGCAGAAUCCUACGGGAGGCAGCAGUGGGGAAUAUUGCACAAUGGGCGGAAGCCUGAUGCAGCAGCGCCGCGUGCGGGAUAACGGCCUACGGGUUGUAAACCGCUUUCGCCUGUGACGAAGCGUGAGUGACGGUAAUGGGUAAAGAAGCACCGGCUAACUACGUG
rnacentral:rRNA from 1 species